rnacentral:rRNA from 1 species
GGCCAACCCGUCUCUGUGGCAAAAGAGUGGGAAGAUUCCUGGGUAGAGGUGACAAGCCUACCGAGCUUGGUGAUAGCUGGUUGCCUAAAAAAUGAAUAGAAGUUCAGCCUCAUACUCCUCUUCUCACAAGCCUAGCUAAAAAUGAAUCAGAGAAAAAUAUGAGAGUUAGUCAAAAGAGGUACAACCCCUUUGACACAGGACACAACCUUACACAGGAGAUUAAGGACUAUACUCAUUAAGAUUUCUG